rnacentral:lncRNA from 1 species
UAAAAAGCACCUGACUCAAGUUUCUCCUUUGUUCAUGCUGUUUCUAAUUAGAUACUUCAUUUGGACUCCAAUGUGGAAUAACCUUGGGAUGCUGGGGAAAGAGACAGAGUUUGAGAGAGAGCAUGCGCAAGCAGGAGGAGUGGCAGGCAGAGGGAGAAGCAGGUUCCCUGCUGAGCAAGGAGUCCAGUGUGGGACUCGAUCGAUCCCAGGACCCUUAACUGACUGAGCUAUCCAGGAGUCUCAUGGCCCACCAUUUUAUUUAAGGUCACAGACCAUGUUGUUCAGAAGGUUGGCUCAUUAGAAAUUCUGGACUCUGGCUCUAGCUUUAUAAACAUAAUGUUCUAACUAACUGAGACAACUGGUGGUUUGCAGUAUAAGUUAAAUUUUGCUGUGUAGUGAACACCAUAAAAUAGUGGCUUCAAAACAAAACAAAACAUUUACUUCAUUCAUGAUUCUGCAUGUUGGCAGUUUGCUUAGGCUUGCUGCAAAGUCCUUAUGAUCAGGGUCAGGUUAUCUUCUUGGCUAAAUUCUCUCACAUAUCUGGGAUCUAAGCUUCAACUAUAGAGAUGAGCUCCUUCCAUGCAUCUAUAAUUCCUCAGCUGGCUAACCUCAGCUUGUUCACAGAGUGACAGAUGGAUUUUAAGAGCACUUUGGGAAGAGAAGCCAGAAUGUGCAAGCACUUUUUUUUAUAGAUAUAGAAAAGAGAUAGAUAUUUGUGUCAUGUUCACUGGUGUCCUGUUGGUCAAAGUUAGUCACAUAAUCAACUCAUAUGCAAAGAAUGAAGAAAUAGACCCUUCAUUCUAGAAGAAUCUGCAGCAAUUUUUUGCUAGGGCAUCACAUUGCAAACAUGUUUCAUUAAAAAAGCUGUGAAUCCAGGAAAGGGAAGAAUUCGUA